GAUGAACGCUGGCGGCGUGCUUAACACAUGCAACUCGAACGGAAAGGCCCAAGCUUGCUUGGGUACUCGAGUGGCGAACGGGUGAGUAACACGUGGGUGAUCUGCCCUGCACUUCGGGAUAAGCCUGGGAAACUGGGUCUAAUACCGGAUAGGACCACAUUUUGGAUGGUGUGGUGGAAAGUUUUUCGGUGUGGGAUGAGCUCGCGGCCUAUCAGCUUGUUGGUGGGGUAAUGGCCUACCAAGGCGUCGACGGGUAGCCGGCCUGAGAGGGUGUACGGCCACAUUGGGACUGAGAUACGGCCCAGACUCCUACGGGAGGCAGCAGUGGGGAAUAUUGCACAAUGGGCGCAAGCCUGAUGCAGCGACGCCGCGUGGGGGAUGACGGCCUUCGGGUUGUAAACUCCUUUCGCUAGGGACGAAGCGUUAUGUGACGGUACCUGGAGAAGAAGCACCGGCUAACUACGUG
rnacentral:rRNA from 1 species